GAUGAACGCUGACAGAAUGCUUAACACAUGCACGUCAACUGUGGCGAACGGGGGAGUAACGCGUAAAGAACUUGCCUCACGGAUAGGAACAACAUUUGGACACCAAUGCUAAUACCUGAUACUGUGAGAGAGCUUUGCGUCCCAUUAGCUAGUUGGGACGGUAACGGCUCACAAAGGCGAUGAUGGGUAGCCGGCCUGAGAGGGUGAUCGGCUACAAGGGGACGGAGACACGGCCCUUACUCCGACGGGAGGCAGCAGUGGGGAAUAUUGGACAAUGGACCAAAGGCUGAUCAAGCAAUUCUGUGUGCACGAUGAAGUUUUCGGAAUGUAAAGUGCUUUCAGUUGGGAAGCGGUACCAACAGAAGAAGUGACGGCUAAAUACGUGCCAGCAGCCGCGGUAAUAC
rnacentral:rRNA from 1 species